AGCCCCGAGCGCAGUUGUUGGCGGGCCAGCACAGAGCGCCCGCCUGUCAAGCGGGGGAGCGGAGGUUCGAGUCCUCCCGAUGGCUU
rnacentral:tRNA from 1 species